AGCAGCCGCGGUAAUUCCAGCUCCAAUAGCGUAUAUUAAAGUUGUUGCAGUUAAAAAGCUCGUAGUUGAAUUUCGGGGUCAAUAAGUUGGUCGUGCCAAUGGUAUGCACUGGCUUUAUUGAUUCCUACCUCUUGACGAACUGUGAUGCCAUUAAUUUGGUGUCGCAAGGAAUCAGGACUGUUACCUUGAAAAAAUUAGAGUGUUUAAAGCAGGCUUACGCUUGAAUACAUUAGCAUGGAAUAAUGAAAUAGGACGUUUGAACCUAUUUUGUUGGUUUUUAGGAUCGACGUAAUGAUUAAUAGGGAUAGUUGGGGGCAUUAGUAUUCAAUUGUCAGAGGUGAAAUUCUUGGAUUUAUUGAAGACUAACUACUGCGAAAGCAUUUGCCAAGGAUGUUUUCAUUAAUCAAGAACGAAAGU
rnacentral:rRNA from 1 species